GGGCGCAAGCCUGAUCCAGCCAUGCCGCGUGAGUGAAGAAGGCCUUCGGGUUGUAAAGCUCUUUCGGCCGGGAAGAAAUCGUGGUCUCUAACAUAGGCCAUGGAUGACGGUACCGGACUAAGAAGCACCGGCUAACUACGUGCC
rnacentral:rRNA from 1 species